CUGGGAUGACAUCUGAUGUGCCUCAUCUCCUCUGCCCAGUGAUGGGUGUCCUCCCCACCAUGGGUACCGGAGCCCCGUCUCUGCCUCCUGCCCUCCCCUGGGUUUGCAUGUGGUCAGUAUCCUGGCACAUGGAGCCAGAGGGGCUGUGCGGGAGAGUUUGUACCACAGCAGCAGAGGCUGGGGAAACCCAGAGACUUGAACCCCACUUUGAUGCAAACAGACAGGGAACCUGCUGGUGGUGCUGGAGGAGAUUCCAAGCAGUGCCAGCACAUCCCAGUCCUCCCAGUCCUUGUCUGAGUGUGGAGCAGGGGGCAGAGCUGGAGGUGCUGUUCUGGUUGGUGGUUGCUCUUCAGUCUUCAGCUACUUCAUCGGUAAGAAAUGGGUGAGGGGGGAUUUAUUGGGAGAACUUUUUGCUUUCUCUGCCAAGAGCAGAGUGACAGCACCCCUUGCAGGGACCCAGGGGAACAUUGCGAGCUCUCCAGCAGGUUGUUAAAAAAUCAUUUUCAUUAGGAAGCAGAAGUCCUGCUGCUGAGAAAGAUUGCUUCACGCGAGCAGAUUUGGGCUUGCUAACCAGUGUUCCACUUCCAGCAAACCCAAGUCACAUGCAGGAUGCUCUGCUUGUCUUGCCAAAAGAUGGGCCCCGGCCACACCAAGAGAAAAGUGUUCCUGUGGGCAGCACCCUUUUUGGUUUUACCAUGAACAAACCCUCAGACUUCCAGGGUCUACAUGCGCAGGGGCAAUGGCACCGCUUUCUCUCUGGAGAGAGGACUUACCUCCCGGAGAGGACCCUGUGCCCGGCCAUUGGGCACUUAGGGCAUCCCUGCAAGCGUUUGAUCGCAGAGCCACGGUCACUGCCCCCAAGCCUUGGCACAAGCUCCUAUUCAAUUUUCUGUUAGUUUUGCCCAUUGUUUAGCUUGUUUCAUUCCUCAUCCCAGUCUCCUCCUGUAUGUGUGAUUGAAUUCAAUACUUCUCACUGCCCAG